UGGGGAAUAUUGCACAAUGGGCGCAAGCCUGAUGCAGCCAUGCCGCGUGUAUGAAGAAGGCCUUCGGGUUGUAAAGUACUUUCAGUCGGGAGGAAGGUGGUAAGGUUAAUAACCUUGGCAAUUGACGUUACCGACAGAAGAAGCACCGGCUAACUCCGUGCCAGCAGCCGCGGUAAUACGGAGAGUGCAAGCGUUAAUCGGAAUUACUGGGCGUAAAGCGCACGCAGGCGGUUGAUUGAGUCAGAUGUGAAAUCCCCGGGCUUAACCCGGGAAUUGCAUCUGAUACUGGUCAGCUAGAGUCUUGUAGAGGGGGGUAGAAUUCCAUGUGUAGCGGUGAAAUGCGUAGAGAUGUGGAGGAAUACCGGUGGCGAAGGCGGCCCCCUGGACAAAGACUGACGCUCAGGUGCGAAAGCGUGGGGAGCAAACAGG
rnacentral:rRNA from 1 species